rnacentral:rRNA from 1 species
CAGUAGCCGCGGGAACACGGAGGGUGCGAGCGUUAAUCGGAAUUACUGGGCGUAAAGCGCGCGUAGGCGGCUUGGUAAGUCGAUUGUGAAAGCCCCGGGCUCAACCUGGGAAUUGCAGUCGAGACUGUCAGGCUAGAGUGUGGGAGAGGGUGGUGGAAUUCCCGGUGUAGCGGUGAAAUGCGUAGAUAUCGGGAGGAACAUCAGUGGCGAAGGCGACCGCCUGGCCCAACACUGACGCUGAGGUGCGAAAGCGUGGGUAGCAAACAGGAUUAGAGACCCCCGUAGUCCCUGUCUCUUAUAA